CUCUGGGUCUAAAAGGAGAGUCUUCACUUCUCCGCCAAUGAGCUUCUCGCAGCCUGAUGACGUAGGUGGUGACGUCAGUUCUAUUUGCAGGCAAGGGCCAUUUACACCAGGAUUUCAUCCAGGGUACUUAACAACGCGAUGGGGUUGAAGACGAUGACGCUCCCCAUGACGUCAACCAUGACAGGAAACUCGCGAUGAUUCGACAUCCUUUUAGUCUCUGGGGCUGCGUGGCUGCUUCCAACAGUGCCUGGAUCCUCAAGAGGAAGGAGCGGGAGUGACAGUGACUGCAACAAUGGACUCACAUAAGAACAGCCAGGAGGCUGGCGCAGGGCCGGGCGGUAUUUCCUUCUGGCGUCCACAGGCUCGCCAGGAGUCGGAGCGUGUCUCACCCCCCAGUCUGACCUCACGUGAGUGCCCUAUACCAGGCGAUGACUGGCUCUAUGGAUUACCAUCUUGGUCAAGAGCACACUGCACUAGAAGACCUCUGUUCUUUGACAAGGGAAAGACCACCAGCCCCUAACUGCACAAAGACAAGUUGACAGCCUCAGGGACAGCCCGGUAGCAUGUCUAGUACAUUCCAUUCCUUGACCCCACCACAGGCGCAGCACAGGGACUGCCAUGAGUCGAAGGCAAGGCAAGGGCAACUGGUAGCUCGUUAUCUAUUGCAGUGACAUAAUGACACCAAG